rnacentral:rRNA from 1 species
GUCGAGAAUAUUUCGCAAUGGGCGAAAGCCUGACGAAGCGACGCCGCGUGAACGAUGAAGACCUUCGGGUUGUAAAGUUCUGUCGCCUUAGAACAAGAAGCGCUGGAUAACACCCAGCGACGAUGAGGGUAUAAGGAGAGGAAGCACCGGCUAAUUCCGUGCCAGCAGCUGCGGUAAUACGGAAGGUGCAAGCGUUAGUCGGAAUUAUUGGGCGUAAAGGGUGCGUAGGCGGAAAAGCAAGUCGGACGUGAAAUUCUGGGGCUCAACCUCAGAGCUGCAUCCGAAACUGCUUUUCUAGAGGAUUGGCGGAGAAAACGGAAUUCCAUGUGUAGCGGUGAAAUGCGUAGAUAUAUGGAAGAACACCUGUGGCGAAAGCGGUUUUCUAGCCUCCUCCUGACGCUGAGGCACGAGAGCAAGGGGAGCAAACAGGAUUAGAAACCCGAGUAGUCC